rnacentral:lncRNA from 1 species
UGUCACGACUCUUCUCAUGCCUCCCUAAAAUCCAAAGAAUUUUGUGAAGGAAGAAUAGCGGGACAGCCCUAUGGAGUGCCAAGGGGCGACUGGUGGCAGCAGCUGCGGGACAGGCAGUUGGCUGGCCAACGGGCAGUUGGCAGAUGCGUGGUUGGCCUACGGGAGAAGGGCCACUGCCAACUGGGCCUGCGAGAUGCGUGGUAGGCCUAUGGGACAAGCAGCAGUGCUGCGGGCGCUGGGCUGUGGUGCGCGGAAGGCUGGCGCGCAGGAAGUGUAGGCGGGGCAAUCACUGGUAGGCCUGCGGAAGCUGGUUGGCCUACGGAUAUGGUUGGCCUACGGAAGACUGGUUGGCCUACGGAUCCAUGCUAGACGAGGUCCAAUCGGCAGAACGGGCUGAAAGGCGCCCGAAGCUUCCAGAGGCGUCUGGGGUGCGUGGGAACGGGCCAGAACGUCUUGGUUGGCCAGCGGAAGAAAUUUCCAGGAAGUUGUGGUUGGCCAACGAAAAUUCUAGAAUCACCCAGAAUUGGCCAGAGACAGCCAGCAACCCCCAGAACUGGCCAGAACAGCCCAGAACCUUCCAGAAUUUGGUUGGCCAGCAGAUUCAACCCAGCCAAGUGGGUCCCACAGGCAACUCAGCCCCCAUGUCCAGAAUACUCUCCAGGGUGUGAAAUUACAUUUAAGUCCCUGAAAGUUUUAGAGAGUGAAUUAUAGCCACAUGUUGGAGAAUGCAUCUCCACCACACAUUAAGGAGGUGGGAUACCUAUAAAUAGCCACUUAGGGAGUUCAUUUGUACAGAAGAGGUGAGAAAGUGAGCAAGUGAGAUACCAAAGAGUGUACAAAGCCUUGUAAAGCUUUCUUUGAGCAAUACAAAUUUCUUCCUUCCAUCAUCAUUCUCCUUUAAGCUUAGCCAACACUUUUCUCACACAACUAAGCUUCCGUUGCCACAAUCACCCAACGGCUCUUAUUUUGAGCAAGGAGUAAGGCUGAACUUAGUUAGGGGAGCUAAGUGUCGCACGGUUUAAGUGAAUUUCAGGUAUUGAAACACUUAGUCCGUGACAAGUGGUAUCAGAGCGUUGGUUUGCUUGAUUGGGUAAAAGAUGUCCAAUCCAAGUGAGGUGAUUGCUGGGGGAGUUGCUCCUAUGGUGGAGGAGCAAGGCGGCGGUAAAAGGAAAGGAAGGGGCAAAUCGAGGGAGCCUACACGAGCUAGGGAGGAGCUCGGUGAUUUGGAGACCCGUCUUGUGAAGGUGGAGCUAGUCUUGAUCGAGGAGGAGGAGAAGUUCGAGGAGGUUGAUACCCACAUCGAGGAACUUGGCAAUGGGAUGGAAGAGUUCCGAGAGGAGAUGCAAGGUGCCCUCGACUCCGCUGUUGACAAGCUAGCGAGUGAGAUGGGGUCACUUAGGCACGCCCAUUCAGAGGAGAAUGCUGCCAUUAAAGAGGAGAACCAUUUCCUAAGGGCGGAAAUGGAUAGGAUGAUGGGGAGGAUGAAGGAGCUCAAGGAGAAAUUGGCAUUGUUGCGUUCCGUGAUAGUCCAAGGUGGUAUGGCAGCCACACCAUCCACUUCGGGAGCUCUUAUGGCACGAGUGGAGGUGCCAAAGCCCCAAGCGUUCAAGGGGACGCGUAAUGCAAAGGAGAUCGACAAUUUCCUAUGGAGCUUGGAGCAGUAUUUCAAGGCCCUAGGAAUUGUGGAAGAUGCAAGGAAGAUUGAUCAUGCCCCACUGUAUUUGGCUGACACCGCUAUGGUUUGGUGGCGAAGGAGGGAAGCCGACAUCGAGAAGGGCACUUGCAAAUGAGAGACGUGGGACGAUUUCAAGAGAGAAUUAAAGAAGCAAUUCUACCCUGUGAAUGCUGCUCACGAGGCACGAGCAAGGCUAAGGAGGCUUACUCAACGAGGGACGAUUCGAGACUAUGUGAAGGAGUUCACCGAGGUAAUUCUCGAAAUCCCUGGCUAUCCUGAUAGUGAAGCACUCUUUGCUUUUAUGGAUGGGUUACAACAUUGGGCAAGGCUUGAGAUUGAAAGGCGUGGAGCCCAAGAUCUAGCCACUGCCAUUUCUAUUGCUGAGUCCUUGACUAAGUAUCAAAAAGGGGACAAAGGCAAAGGAGUGGAGCAAGUGAAGGUCAAGAGUAGUGGCGACGUCCAUGAAAGUAAGGAGGGAAGUGCAAAACCGUGGAGACCUAAGGAGGGAUUGUCCAAGGGAUGGAGGAAGCCCGAAGGUGAAAGGGAGAAGCCUCUACCAAAGUGCUUCUUGUGCGAUGGACCGCAUAUGGUGAGGGAAUGUCCAAAGCGCAAGGUCUUGUCUUCCUUAGUGGAAGAAAAGGAAGCAAGCAAGCAGCAAGGGGAAGGUAUGUGCAUGGGUGCCUUACAAUUAGCUGCCAUCGAUGUCAAGCCUAAGGAGGUGGCAAGUGAGCGCAAGGGACGCUUGUUUGCUCCAAUGGAGGUAAAGGGGCAGUCCAUUCAUGCUUUGGUGGACACUGGAGCUUCACACAACUUUAUGAAGCUCGAUGUGGCCAAGAAGCUUGGAGUUCCUUUUGAUGGUGAUGAGGGUUGGUUGAAGGUUGUCAACUCCUCUCCAACCCCAACAUAUGGAGUUGCGAGGAAUGUCCAAGUAAAAAUAGGUGAGUGGACUGGAACUUUGGACUUCUACAUUAUUAAUUUGGAUGAUCACUCUUGUGUGCUAGGCAUGGAUUUUAUGGAUAAGGUGAAGGCAGUUCUUCUCCCCUAUGCCAAUGAUAUGUGCUUACCUGAUGGGAGUACCUUGAAGGCCAUAAACUUGGCAAGAGGGAAGGGUGCCACUAGCACACUCUCUAGUCUACAAGUGGUAAGUCCAAAGGAGCUGCCCAAGGAGACAUUGCCACCAAGAAGAAGUAAAGGGCAUGAUGAGAUGAAGAAGAGAGUGAAGAUGACUGUCGACGCGAUGGGUCCAAAGUCUUCCUUGUUGAGGCGCAUCAAGGAGGCAACGAUGCGUGAUGGGCAAGCCAAGCAAUUGGUGAAGUUGGCUCGCAACGGGGUAACAAGGAAAUUUGUGGUUGAUGAUGGGCUCAUUAAGACGAGGCGUGGCAGCAUCUUUGUGCCUAGAUGGGGCAAGUUGCGAGAGGAAGUCAUGAGGUGGUGUCAUGACUUCAUGAUUCGUGGCCGUCCAAGUGUAAGGAAGAUGAUGGCAAGGCUUGGACGUGAGUUUUAUUGGCAUCACAUGGCGAUGGAUGUUAAGUGGUUUGUAAGGACUUGUGUGGAGAGUCAUAGAGGUGAUGGUGAUUCUCCAAGGGAGGUGAAAACUGAGGGACGUUCUCCAUCUGCACCAUGGGAGAGUAGACCACGGAGGUCUAAGGUGCGACUUCGAGGAGACGCGACGAAGGCGUCACGAGAAUAGUUGGGGGAGAAUGUCACGACUCUUCCCAUGCCUCCCUAAAAUCCAAAGAAUUUUGUGAAGGAAGAAUAGCGGGACAGCCCUAUGGAGUGCCAAGGGGCGACUGGUGGCAGCAGCUGCGGGGCAGGUAGUUGGCUGGCCAACGGGUAGUUGGCAGAUGCGUGGUUGGCCUACGGGAGAAGGGCCACUGCCAACUGGGCCUGCGGGAUGCGUGGUAGGCCUAUGGGAUGAGCAGCAGUGCUGCGGGCGCUGGGACAGCGCUGGGCUGUGGUGCGCGGAAGGCUGGCGCGCGCAGGAAGUGUAGGCGGGGCAAUCACUGGUAGGCCUGCGGAAGCUGGUUGGCCUACGGAUACGGUUGGCCAACGGAGCUGGUUGGCCUACGGAUACGGUUGGCCAACGGAGCUGGUUGGCCUACGGAUACGGUUGGCCUACGGAGCUGGUUGGCCUACGGAUACGGUUGGCCUACGGAAGACUGGUUGGCCUACGGAUCCAUGCCAGACGAGGUCCAAUUGGCAGAACGGGCUGAACGGCGCCCAAAGCUUCCAGAGGCAUCUGGGGUGCGCGGGAACGGGCCAGAACGUCCUGGUUGGCCAGCGGAGGAAAUUUUCAGGAAGUUGUGGUUAGCCAACGAAAAUUCUGGAAUCACCCAGAAUUGGCCAGAGACAGCCAGCAGCCCCUAGAAUUGGCCAGAACAGCCCAGAAUUGGCCAGAACAGCCCAGAAC